rnacentral:rRNA from 1 species
GACGAACGCUGGCGGCGUGCCUAAUACAUGCAAGUCGAACGCUGAAGGAGGAGCUUGCUUCUCUGGAUGAGUUGCGAACGGGUGAGUAACGCGUAGGUAACCUGCCUGGUAGCGGGGGAUAACUAUUGGAAACGAUAGCUAAUACCGCAUAAGAGUAGAUGUUGCAUGACAUUUGCUUAAAAGGUGCAAUUGCAUCACUACCAGAUGGACCUGCGUUGUAUUGGCUAGUUGGUGGGGUAACGGAUCACCAAGGCGACGAUACAUAUCCGACCUGAGAGGGGGGGCGGCCGGCCUGGGAGUGUGACACGCCCCAGAGGCCUACGGGUGGCAGCAGGAGGGAUACGUGGGGAAGGGACGGAAGUCUGAGCAAGAUACGCCGAGGGAGUAAGGAGGGAUGUCGGGUGGUAAAGGUCUGUUGUAAGGGAAGAACGAGUGUGAGAGUGGAAAGUUCACAGUGUGACGGUAUCUUACCAGAAAGCGACGGCUAACUACGUG